rnacentral:rRNA from 1 species
UACGGAGGGCGCAAGCGUUGUUCGGAAUCAUUGGGCGUAAAGCGCGUGUAGGCGGUCUGGUCAGUCGGGUGUGAAAGCCCGGAGCUCAACUCCGGAACUGCACUCGAUACUGCCAGGCUAGAGUCCCGGAGAGGGUGGUGGAAUUCCCGGUGUAGAGGUGAAAUUCGUAGAUAUCGGGAGGAACACCAGUGGCGAAGGCGGCCACCUGGACGGUGACUGACGAUGAGACGCGAAAGCGUGGGGAGCAAACAGG